GCCUGAGUAGCUCAGUUGGAUAGAGCAACGCUUUUGUAAAGCGUAGGUCGUCGGUUCGAGUCCGACCUUGGGCU
rnacentral:tRNA from 1 species